GUCCAUGAUCAUCGUGUCCGACAUGGAGCUGAGCCCUGGGAUAUCCAGCAGGUUGGUCAUCCCCGUCCAGUUGAUGUCCAAAGUUGGGCGCCGGAUGAAGAACAUGGUGAGGGCCCCCACGAUGGGCACAUCGCCCAGCAGCGGCUCCAGGAUGACCCGCAGUGUCCCGUGGAGCUGCAUGCCCUUCACCCCCGCCUUGCAGAAGAACUUCUUCACCUCCACGUCG
rnacentral:lncRNA from 1 species